GACGAACGCUGGCGGCGUGCUUAACACAUGCAAGUCGAACGGAAAGGCCCUGCUUGCCGGGUACUCGAGUGGCGAACGGGUGAGUAACACGUGGGUGAUCUGCCCUGCACUUCGGGAUAAGCCUGGGAAACUGGGUCUAAUACCGGAUAGGAGCCAUUUUUAGUGUGAUGGUUGGAAAGUUUUUUCGGUGUAGGAUGAGCUCGCGGCCUAUCAGCUUGUUGGUGGGGUAAUGGCCUACCAAGGCGGCGACGGGUAGCCGGCCUGAGAGGGUGGACGGCCACAUUGGGACUGAGAUACGGCCCAGACGCCUACGGGAGGCAGCAGUGGGGAAUAUUGCACAAGGGGCGCAAGCCUGAUGCAGCGACGCCGCGUGGGGGAUGACGGCCUUCGGGUUGUAAACUCCGUUCGCUAGGGACGAAGCUUUUUGUGACGGUACCUAGAGAAGAAGCACCGGCUAACUACGUG
rnacentral:rRNA from 1 species